AAAUCUUUAAAUCAAAUGAAUACAUAAAUGAAUUCAUUCUGAGAUUAUUCUGAGUGUUUAGAAUAGAUGUAAAAGACUUGUGUUUUAGUGAACUGUGUUGUUAAUAUGUAGUUGUGGAGAUGUCUGUUUCCCCUCGAGACACUGACGGAAAGCAGGAUUCCUACUUGAAGAGGUAUUACAAAACCCUUCCUGAGGAGAAAAGAUUGAUGAUGGAAAAGUCUCUAAUGGAUGCAGAUAAUAAUGAGCAAGCACACACCAGUGGUCUAAAUAAGGGUGUUUUCUCAAAAGAUGCCAAAAAUGAGCACAUUAAACACAGAAAGGCUGAAGAUUCUGAAGAUAAUGAUGCCAAAAAGGAUAAAAAAUCAUCCACGUGCACUGUGUUAUAACACAUCAUACACAUCACACAUCUUACACAUGCAUAAUUACAGUACCUCUCUUUGCCAGUCAGAUACAAUUGAAAAUGCCAUAUCUUGUAUUAGCAGUAUUAUUUGUUUAUUUUAGAUUCUGAACAUGCUUUUAGAAAUGUUCUCCUUUUAUAUAAUAAUAAGAGGUUUUGUGGCAAUUUAAUAUAAAAAAAACUAAAGCUAAGCGGCAACGUCUUUACUCAUAAGGCCAGGUUUUAUCAUUGUUUUGAAUGGAAAACGUGAAUCUAUAUUUUGCCCAAUUCAAUACAGCAAAAAAAAUAAAUAAAUAAAAAAUGGAG